rnacentral:rRNA from 1 species
GCUUUGGGGGAGGGGCUAGAAUGCUAGUCGUGCGCCUUCUAGCCACGCUGAAGGCGCGGCACACAGCUCAGUAACACGUGGCUAACCUGCCCUCGGGACGAGAACAUCCCCGGGAAACUGGGGUCAAUUCUCGAUAGGUGAAGAUUCCUGGAAUGGGUCUUCGCCCGAAAGGACGUUUAGGUCAUGCUUCUAGACGUUGCCCGAGGAUGGGGCCGCGGCCGAUCAGGCUGUUGGUGAGGUAAAGGCUCACCAAACCUUUGACCGGUUCGGGCCGUGGGAGCGGUAGCCCGGAGAUGGGCACUGAGACAAGGGCCCAGGCCCUACGGGGCGCAGCAGUCGCGAAAACUUCGCAAUAAGCGAAAGCUUGACGGGGCCAUCCCGAGUGCCAUCUGCUGAGGAUGGCUUUUACCCAGUAUAGAUAGCUGGGGGAAUAAGGAGAGGGCAAGUCUGGUGUCAGCCGCCGCGGUAAUACCAGCUCUCCGAGUGGUGAGGACGAUUAUUGGGCCUGAAGCAUCCGUAGCCGGCUGGGCAAGUCCCCUGUUAAAUCCAACGAACUAAUCGCUGGCCUGCAGGGGAUACUGCUCGGCUAGGGGGCGGGAGAGGCCGUCGGUAUUCUUGGGGUAGGGGUGAAAUCCUAUAAUCCCAGGAGGACCACCAGUGGCGAAGGCUGUCGGCUAGAACGCGCUCGACGGUGAGGGAUGAAAGCUGGGGGAGCGAACCGGAUUAGAUACCCGGGUAGUCCCAGCUGUAAACGAUGCAGGCUAGGUGUUAGGGCGGCCACGUGCCGCUCUAGUGCCGCAGGGAAACUGUUAAGCCUGCCGCCUGGGGAGUACGGCCGCAAGGCUGAAACUUAAAGGAAUUGGCGGGGGAGCACCACAAGGGGUGAAGCUUGCGGUUUAAUUGGAGUCAACGCCGGA